rnacentral:rRNA from 1 species
UACGAAGGGUGCUAGCGUUGCUCGGAAUCACUGGGCGGAAAGCGCACGUAGGCGGUCUUUUAAGUCAGGGGUGAAAUCCUGGAGCUCAACUCCAGAACUGCCUUUGAUACUGAGAGACCUGAGUCCGGGAGAGGUGAGUGGAACUGCGAGUGUAGAGGUGAAAUUCGUAGAUAUUCGCAAGAACACCAGUGGCGAAGGCGGCUCACUGGCCCGGUACUGACGCUGAGGCACGAAAGCGUGGGGAGCAAACAGG